UCCAGCUCCACUCACUCUCCCGGUCUGAGAAUUGAGAGGCUCAGAGAGACGGACUGUCCUACUGCACCACCAGAGACGGAGGAGAGAUCCCCAUCGGAAGAGGCACCAGACUGCUUACAGCUGUGUGGGGGUUUAGUUCAAACUGGGAAGAGAGCCAGACGGAUACCUCAAGGAGGAGAGAGCAGUGAUCCUGUGAGUCUGCUUGUGCUCUGUGUGGGACAUCCUGACGGUCGGUCAAGGGCAGAUGAAGGAGCAGGUGGGUGGAAGUUGGAGCUUGCUCUUGGAUGGGUCAUAUCUACACUUCAUUACACAAAGGCUGGUGGAGGUGGGGAACAAGCUGCCCGGCCAUGUUGUUGAACCCUGGCUUCUCUCAAGAUCCUCCAGGCUUGUAACUCCUAACUGCCAGAGGGGAAAGGAAGAAGAGCCCACCCUGAUGGGAGAUCGCAGCACGACCCACGAGAUUCCCUGGAAAACAGACGGAAGUUCGGACCAGAUCAGUGGAAAUCUGCAGGUGUUGCUUCAUGAAGGACAGUUUUGUACCAAAACAACUGAAAACCCAACGGAGAAUUAAAGAGGGCUCCCUUUCUGGGAUAUUCUCUGUACUUGUUAACCACUAAACCAGAUGGUCUCUCCAGUCUGUUUCCUGAAUAAUUGGUUAAUUUGCCUAUUUCCCAUGCUGGGAAUGCACUGGGAUGGUAGGUCACUAAACCAGUUUCUUUCCUAAAUAUCUUUUUGUGUCUUCACUGUCCUGGAUCUUCACUAAUCCAGGCAGUCUUUUUUCCUGAAUAUUAUGUUGGAUAUUCAGUUUACUGGAUAGUAAUUGUAAUGGUUAGUCACAACACAGUCUUUGUCCUGAAUACUCACUCUUAUUCACUGUAAUGGCCAGUCACUUACUGGUAUCUUGUUGUAAAAGAAUUACAAUUAUUCACUAACUGAUAUCCACUGUGAGUGGUACUGUGUGUUCAUUGUAACAGAUAAGCACUGUAAUUAUUCUCUGACUGAUAUACCCUGUACUGGGUAUUCACUGUCAUAGAUAACUUUCUGUGUUGGACAUUCACAGUAAUGGUUUCCAAGAUAUUCUCUAAAAUGGUA